rnacentral:misc_RNA from 1 species
CAGCGAAGGGACUUGCCCAUCAGCAGUGCCGCUGCUUCACCAGACUCCUGAUCUCCUUGUGUAACCAGCCGUCAUCAUUGGUGUUUCUCUCUAUUGCCACCUCUCCUCUGCCUCUCUUUCAAACCUUCGAUGCAGCGGCGGAUGCGGCGCUGGACGGCAAGCGCGGCACCGGCGGCGGUCCAGAGGCAGUCGUGCCUCUUGGCGUUGCGCUGCGCCACCACUGGGGUGCAGCACAGCUACAAGCCCGGUUGCUUCGUAUUGGCACUGCGCUCCCUCUUCGUGACGCUUACGCCGACGUCUUUGAAGAGGCGGAUUGCGAUUCGCAUGCAAACCGGAAUGGAGCGCACCGAGGAACUGGAGAGGCAACUGCAGUGGCUCCAGAAGCACGGGUCGCCGCUGCAAGUGAUGGGGCUUCCAAACCACGCGGAACUAGCCGAAGUCCGUGCUCGCUACCGAAGUUUGGUCCUGGAAACCCACCCCGACACGGCAAAGAACACCACAGGUGAGAGCGAGUACGCCAUUUUGCAGACGGCGUACAAGAUGUCCGUCAAUCCAGCUAGCCUCUGGCAUCAAAACGGCGCCUCACCGGCGCUGCACCGUCAGCUGCUACAGACAUCCAAGAAGAGCUUACGUCGGCUAGAUCGCGUGCACGUCUUCGCCACUUUCUCUUACGCCGUAAUGCUUGCCAUUGGUGUAUUCUUCUCCACCGUGGUCGUGAGCAAUGGACUUGAGGCAGCGCUGAAGUUCUUCGACCCAGAGUUCUACCACUUCAUGGUUCAGCAGGAGAAGGAGGAAGACCGCAAGCGCGCAGCGGGGGAGGUGGUAAACACGGACCCGAAACGACUCGCACCAACGGCCGUACGCCGACUGCUCUUCCCCGGCCAAUUCAUUCACGAAGGCGAUGAGGGUAAGGCACGUCGUGGUGAGUGAUUCAGUGUGCGCGAAUGAAGUUGCGAGGGAUGUCGGGAGACGCGUCAUGCUCGCCUCGCGUGCCGUCGCGCCAUCUCCGCUUGCUCAACGACUCAUAACCCCGCAGGGAGCCCGGCGCGCCUACGCGGACGUUCGGUGAUUCCUUGUCGAUGAUCUCGUACUCAAGCACAUCCGCACAUUGACGUGGCAGUGAC